rnacentral:rRNA from 1 species
AGUGAACGCUGGCGGUAGGCCUAACACAUGCAAGUCGAACGGCAGCACAGUAAGAGCUUGCUCUUACGGGUGGCGAGUGGCGGACGGGUGAGGAAUACAUCGGAAUCUACUUUUUCGUGGGGGAUAACGUAGGGAAACUUACGCUAAUACCGCAUACGACCUACGGGUGAAAGCAGUGGAUCUUCGCACCUUGCGCGAUUGAUUGAGCCGAUGUCGGAUUAGCUAGUUGGCGGGGUAAAGGCCCACCAAGGCGACGAUCCGUAGCUGGUCUGAGAGGAUGAUCAGCCACACUGGAACUGAGACACGGUCCAGACUCCUACGGGAGGCAGCAGUGGGGAAUAUUGGACAAUGGGCGCAAGCCUGAUCCAGCCAUACCGCGUGGGUGAAGAAGGCCUUCGGGUUGUAAAGCCCUUUUGUUGGGAAAGAAAAGCAGCAGGUUAAUACCCCGCUGUUCUGACGGUACCCAAAGAAUAAGCACCGGCUAACUUCGUG